rnacentral:lncRNA from 1 species
UCCUUUAUAAUGAACAUAACAUGUAAUAAGUUUAAAAAAAAAAUCCAUAUCUCUUAAUUGUUUCCGAAAUCGAAAGAAGCAAAUAAAAUAUGCAUUAUGACUAGAAAAAAAUUUCGAAGAAAUUUACGGCAUUUGUUUUCAAAUUUGAACUGGUUAAAAUUCGAACCUCGUUAGAAUUCAAAUGGCAUUGAAAAUCAUCAACGAGCAUAAUUUAUCAAAAUUACACAAAUAGGGAACUAUUGGACAAUCUUGUCUUUUUUCUUUGUUGUCUUUUCUUUCCUCUUAUACGUUUGGACCUCAUCGUGGCUGCUUCUGGCAGGCCCCAUCUUGUGUGGGUAAUUUUGACUUCUUUCUUGUCUGGAUCGUCCGCCUUGCCACCUCUUCUUCUUGCCUGGUCGUGGGAUCGGGGAAACCUUCAUAGUCUUGCUGUGAAGUUACUCCGUCGACCCCAACAAUGCUCCUUUUGCCUCU